AUUAGAUACCCGUCUAUUCAUGACAUAGAUAACAGUUGAAUAUUACGAACAACAGUUUAAAAUUCAAAGAUUUUGGCGGUGUCUUAUAAAACCAGGGGAACCUGUCUCAUAACUCGAUAAUCCACGUAUACUCAACCUUCUUUAGAUUCCCAGCAUGUGUACUGCCGUUGUAAGCAUACCUUUAAAAGUAAGUAUGCUAUCAUGAUUAAAUACCAUACACAUCAGGUCAAAGUGCAGCUAAUAAGAAGGAGAUGAUGGGUUACAACCCUAAAUAAGAUAAUCAACUAAGAAAUAAAAAAUCUUACGAAAGUGGACUUGGCUGUAAUUAAUUUACAAGUUAAAGAAAUGAAUAAAACUCUAAGACAUGUACACAUCGCCCGUCACUCUAUCCUAAAGGUUAGAUAAGUCGUAAC
rnacentral:rRNA from 1 species